ensembl:lncRNA
CACCAACCUUUGAGUCAAAAUGCAAGCCGAGAUCUACCAAUCAGCUUUUCUUUAUAACACGACUUAAAAAACGUACACCUAUACAACAUUAACCAAUUAAAAACAUUACUGUAGCAAUGAGUUUUGUGCAGUAAGCUACAGGCCCAAUACAUGAUCACCGUUUGACGGAGAAGUCAGUCACUGUCCGCGGACAGCAUUUGGUAAACUAACACACCUCCUCCCUGCUCCGUUUUCAGCUCCGUCAGCAAUGUGUCGACACACAGUUAAUUUAGCGAUCUCAGUUCAUACAAUACACACAUUAUUAUUACCUCCCUUCAGUAACAAUAUGGUACAAGGAUGAGGCAGAAAAUCAUUCAUGUUUUAUUCAUGUGACGUUUAUUGUACUUAUCAAUGUUUUGGAGUAGCGCUCUGUGUGAUUGUUUCUGUUCCUCUCUCGGUCUCUGUAACUUCCGGGUUUGCUGGAAGAAGGACGCGAGAUUCUUCUUCUAUGGUCCAGGCUCAGAAGGAUCCUGUGAUGGAGGGACAUUUCCUGGUGACAGUCGUCCUUGAAGUCCUUCUGCCAACUGUGGCCUCUUUUCCCUUCAACUCUCUUCAUCACCUCCACAUAGGAGACUUACUGUACAGCCCUGAUCCUUGACUCCUCAACCUCUUUCACCCUAACAGGGAAUUCUGGGAAAUCAGGAAUAUGA